UACGUAGGGUGCGAGCGUUGUCCGGAAUUAUUGGGCGUAAAGGGCUCGUAGGCGGUUUGUCGCGUCGGGAGUGAAAACCCAGGGCUUAACCCUGGGCUGGCUUCCGAUACGGGCAGACUAGAGGUAUGCAGGGGAGAACGGAAUUCCUGGUGUAGCGGUGAAAUGCGCAGAUAUCAGGAGGAACACCGGUGGCGAAGGCGGUUCUCUGGGCAUUACCUGACGCUGAGGAGCGAAAGUGUGGGGAGCGAAUGGG
rnacentral:rRNA from 1 species